rnacentral:rRNA from 1 species
GACGAACGCUGGCGGCGUGCUUAACACAUGCAAGUCGAGCGGUAAGGCCCUUUCGGGGGUACACGAGCGGCGAACGGGUGAGUAACACGUGGGUGACCUGCCCUCAGCUCUGGGAUAAGCCUGGGAAACCGGGUCUAAUACUGGAUAUGACUCCAUGACGCAUGUUGUGGGGUGGAAAGCCUUGUGCGGCUGAGGAUGGGCCCGCGGCCUAUCAGCUUGUUGGUGGGGUGANGGCCUACCAAGGCGACGACGGGUAGCCGGCCUGAGAGGGCGACCGGCCACACUGGGACUGAGACACGGUCCGGGACUCCUACGGGAGGCAGCAGUGGGGAAUAUUGGACAAUGGGCGAAAGCCUGAUCCAGCGACGCCGCGUGGGUGAAGAAGGCCUGCGGGUUGUAAAGCCCUUUC